UAUGGCCAGCUCAUAACCCAGGGCUCCGUCCGACACGGGUUUGAGCUCCUCCAGGGAUGGGGCACCCACAGAUCUCUGUGCCUCGCUGCCCUCACAGCAAAAGGCAGCUGGAUGAGAGGCGGUCGUGGCCUGAACUUCCCACUUCUCCAGAUACUUAAUAUAGCCAAGUCUCUUUACAACACAUUACUGCAUUUUGAAAUCCUCUUCAAGCAAUCGUGGCCUCAAGGAGGAGAGCAGACAAAACUUACUUGUGGUAGAGAAUGACUUGCAUUUGCCAGAGCCUACAUACAGUUCACAAGCAAGCACCUACAGCCAAGGACCUGGAAAAGUAAAUCACAACGGCUGGUUCCUAAUAUAAGCUUAUAAACAAGCUUGUGAGAAGUACUCUGAAAGCAAGGACAGCCUCUAGAAUUCUUUGAGCUACCUGUGGAGAAAGCUUAAGAGAAGAUGAAUAAGAAGAGAGUGGGCUCAGCUCCCUUACCCUUGGCUCUUCAGUAAGUCACACAUGAACGUCAGGCAGCACCAGACCCUGCUCUUUAAACAGCUGGCAGUGCUCUACAAGGGGCCAUCAAAAGGCACAGUGACAGAGCAACUUUGUCACCAUUGAGUGUUUCUCAGUAACUACACACAAUGGAUGGAGGCUUGAUUAAACAGCGA